UACGUAGGGUGCAAGCGUUAAUUGGAAUUACUGGGCGUAAAGCGUGCGCAGGCGGUUCUAUAAGACAGAUGUGAAAUCCCCGGGCUCAACCUGGGAACUGCAUUUGUGACUGUAGAGCUGGAGUGCGGCAGAGGGGGAUGGAAUUCCGCGUGUAGCAGUGAAAUGCGUAGAUAUGCGGAGGAACACCGAUGGCGAAGGCAAUCCCCUGGGCCUGCACUGACGCUCAUGCACGAAAGCGUGGGGAGCAAACAGG
rnacentral:rRNA from 1 species